rnacentral:tmRNA from 2 species
GACGUUGCGUCGAUGCGCGCGACUACCUACAUCCGUGGCUGCCGGGUUUACCCGGCUAUGGCGAUAAAAGGCGGCGCGCAAUAGAUGCAGCGGACCCGGGGGCGGUACCCGGCGGCUCCACCAUUUACGCCGAUCUGCAACCGUUUCGGCGGGUGGCGGGACGGCGUAACUGACGGGGCCGAACUAGGAUCGACGUGUGUUGAAAAACGCUGCUCUUCGCUCGGAAUGGGACCACCGUAACGGCCCAUUACACAAGUGCCAACGAUAACGAAGCACUCGCGAUUGCGGCGUAACUGAGGGCCUCACGGCCUAAGGUUACUCCAAAAUAGCGCGGUUGGACCCCACCGGGCAACAGAAGGGGAAUCCAGCGGUACGGGGAGCACCGGGCAACAGAAGCUCCCCACU